GAUGAACGCUAGCGAUAGGCUUAACACAUGCAAGUCGAGGGGCAGCAUGAUCUUAGCUUGCUAAGGUUGAUGGCGACCGGCGCACGGGUGCGUAACGCGUAUGCAACUUGCCUUACAGAGGGGGAUAACCCGUUGAAAGACGGACUAAAACCGCAUACACUUGUAUUAUUGCAUGAUAUUACAAGGAAAUAUUUAUAACUGUAAGAUAGGCAUGCGUCCCAUUAGCUUGUUGGUGAGGUAACGGCUCACCAAGGCAACGAUGGGUAGGGGAACUGAGAGGUUUAUCCCCCACACUGGUACUGAGACACGGACCAGACUCCUACGGGAGGCAGCAGUGAGGAAUAUUGGUCAAUGGGCGAGAGCCUGAACCAGCCAAGUCGCGUGAAGGAAGACUGUCCUAAGGAUUGUAAACUUCUUUUAUACGGGAAUAACGGGCGAUACGAGUAUUGCAUUGAAUGUACCGUAAGAGUAAGCAUCGGCUAACUCCGUGCCAGCAGCCGCGGUAAUACGGAGGAUGCGAGCGUUAUCCGGAUUUAUUGGGUUUAAAGGGUGCGUAGGUUGUUCGGUAAGUCAGCGGUGAAACCUGAACGCUCAACGUUCAGCCUGCCGUUAAAACUGCCGGGCUUGAGUUCAGCGGCGGCAGGCGGAAUUCGUGGUGUAGCGGUGAAAUGCAUAGAUAUCACGAGGAACUCCGAUUGCGAAGGCAGCUUGCCAUGCUGCGACUGACACUGAAGCACGAAGGCGUGGGUAUCAAACAGGAUUAGAUACCCUGGUAGUCCACGCAGUAAACGAUGAUUACUAGGAGUUUGCGAUAUACCGUCAAGCUUCCACAGCGAAAGCGUUAAGUAAUCCACCUGGGGAGUACGCCGGCAACGGUGAAACUCAAAGGAAUUGACGGGGGCCCGCACAAGCGGAGGAACAUGUGGUUUAAUUCGAUGAUACGCGAGGAACCUUACCCGGGAUUGAAAUGUAGAUGACGG
rnacentral:rRNA from 1 species